rnacentral:tmRNA from 1 species
GGGGAUGUCAGGUUUCGACAGGGUCCGUGAGCCGGGAAUCGCAGGUCGAGGUUGCUCGCAGGCCUCGUAAAAAAGCGGGCAAUUGCUGUAACUGGCAACGAUAGUUACGCCCUCGCUGCUUAGGCAGUGAGCAUUGACGCCGUCUACCCUCCCCGGACGGCGAAGAUGUCAUUAGGGGAGGUGCGGCGCCGCCGACUCCGGUGAGCAGCGUCAAAGAGCCGAGAGGCAUUACCGGAUAGCAGACGAGGCACCCCGCCGGUCGGGGGUCCGCGACGCGAAAUCGUAAGUUGGCCGGAAAUACCUGUAGGAAGUUCUCGGGGAGCGUGUUCUGGACGGGGAGUUCGAUUCUCCCCCAUCUCCACCA